rnacentral:lncRNA from 13 species
UGCCUUGGUAUUUUUGUUCCCACAAAAUUGAUGUAUAUGUCUACAAAGAAACCUGAACAUAGCAGCUUCAUUCAUGAUUGCCCAACCUUGAGAAGCAACCAAUACGUCCUCUAGUAGGUUUUGUCUCCUUGAAAGCCCAUCUGUAUGAAAAAGCCUGACAAUCAUACAGAAAAAGAACUCUGCUUCAUGGAGAGAGGAAAACCACAUGGAGAUUUGUCAACAGUCACCUCCAUGAAUCCUCUCAAAGUUUCCAGAGAGCCCAGCUACCAACUGAAUGCAACAGAGGAUUUUGUGGAAGACAACAGAGUUAUGAGAAGUGGAGAUGAGAUACCUUAAUUCAAUAGUGCCUGGACAAACCUUUGACAGAUCACAAGAUCAAGAGGAGACGUGUUUAUGACAAGUUAAAGAGAAUGAUGGCGGUAGAAAGCAUUCGGUCCCAGCGGGGAAAUGGAAUUAAAAGUGUCUCCCAUUUGGGACCCUGUGGGAAUAUAUACUUAAGCAAGAUUAUAUCAUUUCAAACUAAGGUAGCCUUAUUCAAAUAAUAAGAUUGAAACUUUAUUGGUAAAUAGAAGGCCCCAGUUUUUACUCCCUAUCCUUCUUUAGUGCUUGUGUGUUAGAAAAGCACCCAUAAUUUUCCACCCUUUUCAGAAGUGUGAGAAUACCAAAAGGGAGGAUUGCAUGGAAAAACACCAUGGCAAAACAUGAGGUGAAUCACUUCAGGCAAGAGUUCGGUAAAGGAUUGUGAUAGUGUGAUAUAAAAAGAUAUAUAUAUAUAUAUUUUUUUUUGGUCUUUGUCUCCAGUUUCUGGUACAGAGCUUCUAAAACCUUUGGAAUUUCCUGAGUAAUAAGCUUGAUAGGUGCAUCUUUGGUUAUAAUAUUUGGUCACAGGCCCGCCCCAGCUUCUAAGACUCUUGGAAUCUCCAAAGUGAUAAGUGUAUUUUGGUAUGCUAAUGAGAUGAUUGGUGGCUAGAGGCCUCUAGAUCACUUUAGGAUGGAGGGUGGCCACCAGAAAGAAAGGCAUGAUUAUAGGGUUGAAACUUUCAGGCCUACUCCCAACCUGUGGGUAGAGAUGGGGGUGCUAGAUGGAGAUUGAGUUAUCAUCAAUGGCACAUGAUAUAAUCAAUCAUGCAUAUGUGACAGAACCUUCAUAAAAACCCUAAUGGACAGAGUUCAGAGAGCAUUUCAUUAGUGAACACCUCUAGACACCAAUAAAGUGGUGAAAAGGUGCA